rnacentral:rRNA from 1 species
GACGAACGCUGGCGGCGUGCCUAAUACAUGCAAGUUGAGCGCUGAAGGUUGGUACUUGUACCAACUGGAUGAGCAGCGAACGGGUGAGUAACGCGUGGGGAAUCUGCCUUUGAGCGGGGGACAACAUUUGGAAACGAAUGCUAAUACCGCAUAAAAACUUUAAACGCAAGUUUUAAGUUUGAAAGAUGCAAUUGCAUCACUCAAAGAUGAUCCCGCGUUGUAUUAGCUAGUUGGUGAGGUAAAGGCUCACCAAGGCGAUGAUACAUAGCCGACCUGAGAGGGUGAUCGGCCACAUUGGGACUGAGACACGGCCCAAACUCCUACGGGAGGCAGCAGUAGGGAAUCUUCGGCAAUGGACGAAAGUCUGACCGAGCAACGCCGCGUGAGUGAAGAAGGUUUUCGGAUCGUAAAACUCUGUCGGUAGAGAAGAACGUUGGUGAGAGUGGAAAGCUCAUCAAGUGACGGUAACUACCCAGAAAGGGACGGCUAACUACGUG